GUAGGUCCCGAGCGUUGUCCGGAUUUAUUGGGCGUAAAGCGAGCGCAGGCGGUUUGAUAAGUCUGAAGUUAAAGGCUGUGGCUCAACCAUAGUUCGCUUUGGAAACUGUCAAACUUGAGUGCAGAAGGGGAGNGUGGAAUUCCAUGUGUGGCGGUGAAAUGCGUAGAUAUAUGGAGGAACACCGGUGGCGAAAGCGGCUCUCUGGUCUGUNACUGACGCUGAGGCUCGAAAGCGUGGGGAGCAAACAGGAUUAGAUACCCUGGUAGUCCACGCCGUAAACGAUGNGUGCUAGGUGUUGGAUCCUUUCCGGGAUUCNGUGCCGCNGCUAACGCAUUANGCACUCCGCCUGGGGNGU
rnacentral:rRNA from 1 species